rnacentral:rRNA from 1 species
UACGUAGGGUGCGAGCGUUGUCCGGAAUUAUUGGGCGUAAAGGGCUCGUAGGCGGUUUGUCACGUCGGGAGUGAAAACUCGGGGCUUAACCCCGAGCCUGCUUCCGAUACGGGCUGACUAGAGGUAUGCAGGGGAGAACGGAAUUCCUGGUGUAGCGGUGAAAUGCGCAGAUAUCAGGAGGAACACCGGUGGCGAAGGCGGUUCUCUGGGCCGAUACUGACGCUGAGGAGCGAAAGCGUGGGGAGCGAACAGG